UCGAGAAUUUUUCACAAUGGGCGCAAGCCUGAUGGAGCGACGCCGCGUGGGGGAUGAAUGGCUUCGGCCCGUAAACCCCUGUCAUUUGCGAUCAACCGUUAUUAUUUAAAAGAUGAUAACCUGAUAGUAGCGAAAGAGGAAGGGACGGCUAACUCUGUGCCAGCAGCCGCGGUAAUACAGAGGUCCCAAGCGUUGUUCGGAUUUACUGGGCGUAAAGGGUGCGUAGGUGGCGGUGUAAGUCGGAUGUGAAAUCUCCGAGCUCAACUC
rnacentral:rRNA from 1 species